AUGCGUGGUCCUCGAAAACCGCGAACUAGGGACCACUGGAAAAUCAUCAGUCGAGCCCCGGAGGAUAACCGAAGGGAGCUAGCGGAUGAAUUUCUUCUGCCGCAUAGGUCUCCGCACCUCUUGCAGCACUUUCCCCGUGCACCCUCGUCUGAUUGUGUCCCCCUUUUGCUCCUUCUCUCACAAAUCCGAUGCUUGCGCACAAGUCGCGCAAAAUGCAACUCGAACGUGGAAUACAUAUUUUCAGGCCGCUUUCGUCGUCGACGAAUAAGCACGAAGAAGGGGCAUGCAUCGGACGAUCAGCACAGUCGAUGUCAUUUUCUCGCGUAUGGCGCGCGGCGUCGCGUUUAAUUCGCGCGAUUGAUUACGCGCAAAGAGAGUUAGACCUGGUAUCUACAAUACGUGUCGUAAGUUGUAAGCCGUAAGAAUUGGCGAAUCACAGUCGAUUAUUACAAAAAUAAUCGGCUAUGAUUGGUCAGUUCUUACGGCUUACAGCUUACAACACAUAUUGUAGACCAGGCCUCCGUCCGGAUUCCGUCUUACUCGAAUUUCCGCCCUGUCUCGGCCGCGAGACAACUGUUUGUUCGUUGUCGCGAAACUGCAUGUAGUCCGUUGCAGCUGGAAUUCGAAACAAAACUCGAGCCAGACUCAGGAUCGGGGAGACUCUGGCUCUUGCGGUAAAUAAAAAAUGAAAAAGGAAGAGAAGCAGCGAAUAGUCGCAGAAUGGAAAAGUGGGUAGGCAACGACACUCAACGGUUGUGCAACUGUUGCGCAACAAAAUCGCCCAGAACUCUGAUCAGUUGCGUUCAGUGUACAUUUCUACUGUUCACUCAUCGGAUGCUCAACUGUUGUGCAACUGUUAAGUCUCGUGAACACAGCCGUUGUUGCAUAGCGCGGCAGGCUGCGAGGCUAAUCGGCGGUGCUUCGGUAUGAACAUCGGAGUAGCGGUGUGUCGCGUGAGAUCGUGGCAUACUUUUACCUCGUUUGUCAACGAUACCUUGUCGUAAAAAAAAAAAAAAAGAAAAAGGGGAAAGAAAGCGAAAAAGAGAAAAAGGGAAAAAGGGCUUUUCUAUGCCGCAGAUAAAAGGCAGAAUAUUAUUAUUCUGCAUCCGUUCUACUUACGCGUGAUGUUGCACGCCCGCUGGCGACGCACCACGCGUCUGAUUCAACCCGCCACGUCCUCCAGUGUGGCUUCAUGUAUUCCAGCUGAACGUGUGGACACGGACGCACACCUCGCCGAGCGGCAACGAGCGCGUCAGUAAAAAGUACACAGGGUAUAUUAUUAGACACCCACGAUAAAGGGGAUUGUUAAAAUACAGCCGCUAAUAUCGGCCUACGCACCUUUUAUCCCUUGAUACUGCUGUUGCGUCAACAAUUUGCUAAAGCGUUUCUUCUCUCUCUCUCUCUC